rnacentral:snRNA from 1 species
GUGCUCACUUCAGCAGCACAUACACUAAAAUUGGAAUGAUACAGAGAAGAUUAGCAUGGCCCCUGCUCAAGAAUGACAUGCAAAUUCAUGAAACACUCAUUUUUUAA